UGUCACAGUCUGGGAAUUUUUGUGAGUGCUCUUUAAAUGCAUGGUUCCAUAGUUUAGCAGUUUUUUCUUGAUGGAGCACUUUGAAAAGUCUGGAAUUGGGGUUCGGUGACUCUGCAUCCAUGUAGGAGUCUACCAGCUGCCCUUCACUUGGCCCGGGUCGCAAAAUCUUCAUUUGACUGCCUCUACGCUCAGCAUCGCUUAUUGUGAAUAUUCCAUCCUUCUGCUGCUGUACGACAUCCUGAAACUCUUCUUUACUCAGCCUUCUUAUAGGACAUAGACACUGUACUGUGCUGGUGGUCCCUGUCCUUUUCUGGCCCUUGUUGUGAGGAAUGUUUUCUUUUUUGUACUGAUGUUGAUGCAGCCACUUUGGUCCUUUCUUUGAGCCGCAAUGUCGUCUAAGAGGAACCCCAUCUUUAAUGACUGAUUGAAAAGCCUCAUCACCCCCCAUUGCUUAAGAACCUCUUAUCUUUAUCACUAGCCAUUAAUCAGUGACCACCGUUAUGAAAGCUCCAAGAUGCGCAUGAUGCAACUUCCUGGAUGGUGCUGAGCCUGUUUGUCAACAUGUGGAACCCACGUGUACUUAGGG